GACAGAGGGUGCAAACGUUGUUCGGAAUUACUGGGCGUAAAGCGUGUGUAGGUGGCUGCGAAAGUCGGAUGUGAAAGCCCUGGGCUCAACUCAGGAAGUGCACCCGAUACUGCGCAGCUCGAGUACCGGAGAGGUUGGUAGAAUUCUCGGUGUAGAGGUGAAAUUCGUAGAUAUCGAGAGGAAUACCUGUGGCGAAGGCGGCCAACUGGACGAGUACUGACACUGAGACACGAAAGCGUGGGGAGCAAACAGG
rnacentral:rRNA from 1 species